UCUACCCAAUCUGCUGGCACAUCAUUUUGAACUGACAUUUGCAAACGUUAAGGCUAAGUCCUGAGAUUCAGCAUUUUUUUCCAAUUCCAAUUACGUCAGCAAAUGCAUGAAACAAUGUGUGUGACAUCUAAACUGGUGAACAACAGCUGCAGAGGAAACAUGUUGUUCUGUUCAACAGGAAUGCUACUCAGGACUGGGAGGGAGUGUAAAGGUUGAAGGUCCUGUACCAUUGUCUUCAGGACAGUUGUCUUCAAAGGUCUUGGACGGCCCCGCGUUGACAGCUACCACCGCACACAAGUUCCCCCGGGGGUCAGCGUCCGUGUGGGUCUGAUGAGGCCCGGCGAGCGAGGGUUCCAGGUGGUUCUUUUUGCUCUCUUCCUUUUUGUGACUAUGGUUGUUUUCUUUAAAUGGAGAUUUCCGGUGACAGGAAGACGUACUAUCGAGAUGAAGACGAUGCUGGGCAGACGAGGCCGUGGGGACUGUGGGGGGAUGUUUGCUGUUGGAGCUUUUCUCUUUCUGAGGUUCCGCCAUUUCGCCGUCGGAACCGUCGACCGAGAUGGGUCCCUCGCUGUCGGAGAAGGGCUCGGCGUCUGAGUCGUCCUCUGACCUGGGUGAGUCGGGGGCGUCGGGGAUAUUGGAGGACUCGUAGUGAGUUUCCUGUAGGGAGGCCCGGAUGGCGGCCUCCAGCUGGCUGUCUUCACUGGCAUCGAUCAGACUCUCCUAGAACAGAAAACAGGCGCGCAGCUGUUGAAAACAAAUCGGGGAAGAACAAUAGCAAGCCGGGCGGGGGGUGGCCAAACUGUGCGAUUUUGACCAAACUUAACACUUGCAAAAUUAUUUCAGGGAGAGUUCGUAUGCAAUUUGGAACACACCGUCAUCUACCACGAUGGCAGUAGUAAAUCCAAUAAUUAGGAUAAUCGAAGGUCCGACAUUAAGUCUUUUUGCGUCGUAGCAAUGACAUUUUGCAUUUUAGGAGUUUUAGUCUUAUUCAAACCAUUCCUUAUUUUAGCUGACACGCAAAAAAAAAAAAUGGUACCCAAUCUGGUAAAAAGAUCAAUGAUGAUGAAUCAAUUUAGGUCAAUAAAAAUCCAAAUAACAAGUAGUAUUUAAAAAGCAAGAAUGUGUUGAGCCAAUCGUAUUUAUUGAAGAAAUCUGUUAAUGUUCAACUGAUGAGUAGAACCCGGAUCACGUUUUCAAUUUAGAGUUGCGUUUAUAAAGCAUGGCUAAAGCAGGAGGCAAGUCUUAGUUGCAGAAAAUGUUGGUUUGAAAAACACUUGGAGGCCAUGAAUAUUAAUCAAAUGAAAACCAAUAAGUACAGCGGAAAAUGAGCUUGAUCCUCAUGAUGCUGAAAAAACUAGUUCAUUACGAGCCCUUCAUCCACUCAAAAUGUUCUCAGUCAACCUGAACCGAGGAACCAAACCCAAAACGUGUAUAUCUCGCACCACAAAGCUAAAAAAAACAAACAAA